rnacentral:rRNA from 1 species
GACGAACGCUGGCGGCGUGCCUAAUACAUGCAAGUAGAACGCUGAAGAGAGGAGCUUGCUCUUCUUGGAUGAGUUGCGAACGGGUGAGUAACGCGUAGGUAACCUGCCUUGUAGCGGGGGAUAACUAUUGGAAACGAUAGCUAAUACCGCAUAACAAUGGAUGACACAUGUCAUUUAUUUGAAAGGGGCAAUUGCUCCACUACAAGAUGGACCUGCGUUGUAUUAGCUAGUAGGUGAGGUAAUGGCUCACCUAGGCGACGAUACAUAGCCGACCUGAGAGGGUGAUCGGCCACACUGGGACGGAGACACGGCCCAGACUCCUACGGGAGGCAGCAGUAGGGAAUCUUCGGCAAUGGGGGCAACCCUGACCGAGCAACGCCGCGUGAGUGAAGAAGGUUUUCGGAUCGUAAAGCUCUGUUGUAAGUCAAGAACGGGUGUGAGAGUGGAAAGUUCACACUGUGACGGUAGCUUACCAGAAAGGGACGGCUAACUACGUG